rnacentral:rRNA from 1 species
CACGUAGGGUGCGAGCGUUGUCCGGAAUUAUUGGGCGUAAAGAGCUCGUAGGCGGUGUGUCGCGUCGGCCGUGAAAACCUGGGGCUUAACUCUGGGCUUGCGGUCGAUACGGGCAUCACUUGAGUUCGGCAGGGGAGACUGGAAUUCCUGGUGUAGCGGUGAAAUGCGCAGAUAUCAGGAAGAACACCGAUGGCGAAGGCAGUUCUCUGGGACGGUACUGACGCUGAGACGCGAAAGCGUGGGGAGCGAACAGG